rnacentral:rRNA from 1 species
CCUACGGGAGGCAGCAGUAAGGGAUAUUGGUCAAUGGGGGAAACCCUGAACCAGCAACGCCGCGUGAGGGAAGACGGUUUUCGGAUUGUAAACCUCUUUCCGCUGUGAAGAUGGUGACGGUAGCAGAGGAGGAAGCUCGGGCUAACUACGUGCCAGCAUCCGCGGGAAUACGUAGGGAGCGAGCGUUGUCCGGAUUUACUGGGGGUAAAGGGUGCGUAGGCGGGUUGGCAAGUCAGUAGUGAAAUCGCCGCGCUCAACGUUCGAACUGCCGUUGAAACUGGCAAACUGGAGUGUGUGAGAGGAUAGUGGAAUUCCAGGUGUAGGAGUGAAAUCCGUAGAUAUCAGGAGGAACAUCAGUGGCGAAGGCGACUAUCUGGCACAUAACUGACGCUGAGGAACGAAAGCGUGGGUAGCAAACAGGAUUAGAUACCCCAGUAGUC